CUGGGAGAGAGUAACGUGUAGCCCGUUUACGUGAGAAAACCUGUUUCCAGCCUUCCCUCCUUCACGGAAACAAACUGACCCCCCCCCCAAGAAAAGCAAAAACGCACGGAUGUGCCGCUUGUUCCAGGAGGGGGGGAGUAAACCUCCUCCCAGCGCUGUCACAUUCAAACAGGCAACGGUGCGAGGUUGCCAGUUUGGCGCUAUCCCCCCCUCUUCCUCCCUGCUCCUUUAAAUUGGACCUUUGGAGCUGUAGCUUGUGGCUGAUUUGCAUUAUUCUGUUGUUUGUGGAGCUGAAGCUGAAGCCGCCGUCACUCCGCGCGGGAAUAAAGGGACUUCGCCCGCAGCUCCGGGGACUGACUUUAGAGGGCAGCAGAUUGUCGCCUCAAACAACUUGGUGUUUGGAGCCAUUCAUCUUCCCCUCUACACUGACCAGAGCCCCUGUCCAGCCUGUGGCAUGAUGUAGCACUUCAAGAAGCGUACCAGUGUCAUUCCUCCACUAAAGCAAGAGCCAAAGCAGAGCUCUUGAAGUGGGACACUGACGAUAUGCAGUCUCUUCCCCG
ensembl:lncRNA